GAUUUCUGUAAAUAUUUUUAUUGAACGUGAGAAUUUUUUGUUGAUUGUUUUUCCGGUUUUCCGCGAGGUUAGGUUAGGUUAGGUUAUCCGCGAAAGGUUAUCAACGUUAGUCACUUACAUAAUAAAUGUUUUGAUAUUUGUUGUCUAUAGUUUCGACUUUCAAGUCCACAAUAAAUAGGAACUAAAGCAUUAAGGACUUCAUUGAAUAAAUCAAAAUGGAGAUACCACCUUUUAAUCCAAAUUGAACUUGGAUGAUGACCUGAAGUGUUCUAAUACUUCUAACUAAGAUACUUACAAAGUUGCAAUUCAACUGGAUUAAUUUUUAUAAUACACCCCAAUAAUGAUAAUUUAACAUUAAAUAAUAAAUAUAUUUAACUGUUCAAGUGCAGUACUAUUAUAUAUUUAUUAUUUAUACCUAAACCUUAUAUUUUAAAUUUUAAUUUCGCAUUAUAUUAUAUUUUUAUUAGGUUUGGUCGGAAACGACUAACCAGCUUGAUAUAAUAUAUUCUAUUGAUAAAAUGAAUAUAAGUAUACAACUAUGACUUAUUUGUGAAUAUCAAUAUGAAGUUAGUCCAACGUUACCAUCCCCGAGCCCGGCGAGCCCCUAAUAAGUAAUAAUAUAAAUCAAGUAUUUAUCUGAAGAUUGGGCUUAGUUGCUUAGAAUCAGAUUAACAUUAACCUAGGCCUUUAAGAGAAUGUGUCACGUAAAACGAAACGAACACAGUAUACAGCGGCCGAAUGAUAUAAAAAACAUUUUAUUUUGGAAAACAUGUUGCCUCAAAUUCUCAUUCAAGGAAUUAAUACUAAUAAUUACUAUAAUAUUCAUAAAAUUCUUACUAUUUUUUUAUGAUUUGUUAUCAAAAAUAAAAACAAAUUACCUACUGGCUACUAUACUCAUCAUUAAAUCAUAGGAAAAUA